GAUAUGCAUGGAUCUUCUAAGCUAAUAGCUAUUUUUUUAUCAUUGGAUACCUGCCUGUGGUUGAGCUUUCUGCACUGGCUGAUCCUUUUGCCGUUGCCGUUGCUGUGUGUAAAGAGAUGGAAGAGUUCCUGCUUGCUAGCUAGCUACUCAUCCCAUGCCUGCUGAUCAUUCUCAUCAAAAUCAACGCUCCAAAGGACUCUACAUGUUGCAGAUCUUGGUUUAUUCUUCAGAUCUCUUGGUUAUUCCAGUAACAAAGUGAGAAAAUUGAGAUUCUCAUUGUCAUUUCAGUACAUUUGCUGAUUAGUGUACGCAUACUUCUCUU